UUAAGCUAAUAAGAGCACACGGAGGAUGCCUAGGCGCCAGGAGCCGACGAAGGACGUGGCGAACAACGAAACUGCCUCGGGGAGCUGUAAGCAAGCUUUGAUCCGGGGGUGUCCGAAUGGGGAAACCCAGCUGUGGUAAUUCGCAGUUACUCACACCUGAAUACAUAGGGUGUGUAGAGGCAGACCAGGGGAACUGAAACAUCUAAGUACCCUGAGGAAGAGAAAACAAUAGUGAUUCCGUCAGUAGCGGCGAGCGAACGCGGAACAGCCUAAACCAAGGGGCUUGCCCCUUGGGGUUGUGGGACGUCUCACAUGGAGUUACAAAGGAAUAUGGUAGGUGAAGAGGUCUGGAAAGGCCCGCGAUAGAGGUAAAAGCCCUGUAACCUAAACUGUGUUCUCUCCGAGACGGAUCCCGAGUAGUGCGGGGCACGUGAAACCCCGUAUGAAUCCAGCAGGACCAUCUGCUAAGGCUAAAUACUACCUGGCGACCGAUAGUGAAACAGUACCGUGAGGGAAAGGUGAAAAGCACCCCGGAAGGGGAGUGAAAUAGAACCUGAAACCGUGUGCUUACAAAAAGUCAGAGCCCGAUCUAGGGGUGAUGGCGUGCCUUUUGUAGAAUGAACCGGCGAGUUACGUUUAACAUGCAAGGUUAAGGUGAGAAGCCGGAGCCGCAGCGAAAGCGAGUCUGAAUAGGGCGAUUGAGUAUGUGGACGUAGACCCGAAACCGUGUGAUCUACCCCUGUCCAGGGUGAAGGUGCGGUAACACGCACUGGAGGCCCGAACCCACGUAUGUUGAAAAAUACGGGGAUGAGGUGGGGGUAGCGGAGAAAUUCCAAUCGAACUCGGAGAUAGCUGGUUCUCCCCGAAAUAGCUUUAGGGCUAGCCUCGGUGAAUGGAGUGGUGGAGGUAGAGCACUGAUUGGGUGCGGGGCCCGCAAGGGUUACCAAGCUCAGUCAAACUCCGAAUGCCAUUUACUUCUUGCCGGGAGUCAGACAGUGAGUGCUAAGAUCCAUUGUCAAAAGGGAAACAGCCCAGACCAUCAGCUAAGGUCCCCAAGUGUGUGUUAAGUGGGAAAGGAUGUGGAGUUGCACAGACAACCAGGAUGUUGGCUUAGAAGCAGCCACCAUUGAAAGAGUGCGUAAUAGCUCACUGGUCGAGUGACUCUGCGCCGAAAAUGUAACGGGGCUAAACACACCACCGAAGCUAUGGCUAGAUGCUUUGCAUCUGGGGUAGGGGAGCGUUGUAUGUGGGUUGAAGGUGUACCGUAAGGAGCGCUGGACAGCAUACAAGUGAGAAUGCCGGUAUGAGUAACGAAAAGAUCAGUGAGAAUCUGAUCCGCCGAAAGCCCAAGGUUUCCUGAGGAAGGCUCGUCCGCUCAGGGUAAGUCGGGACCUAAGGCGAGGCCGAAAGGCGUAGUCGAAGGACAACAGUUUGAAAUUACUGUACCACCGUAAUCCGCUAUGAGCGAUGGGGUGACGCAGGAGGGUAGUGACGCGGACUGAUGGAUGUCCGUCUAAGCAGUGAGGCUGGUGUGUAGGCAAAUCCGCACAUCGUAAGGCUGGGCUGUGAUGGGGAGCGAAAAUUAUAGUAGCGAAGGUCAUGAUCUCACACUGCCAAGAAAAGCCUCUAGNNNNNNNNNNNNNNNNNNNNNNNNNNNNNNNNNNNNNNNNNNNNNNNNNNNNNNNNNNNNNNNNNNNNNNNNNNNNNNNNNNNNNNNNNNNNNNNNNNNNCAGGAGAAGGUGCCCGUACCGCAAACCGACACAGGUAGGCGAGAAGAGAAUUCUAAGGCGCGCGGAAGAACUCUCGUUAAGGAACUCGGCAAAAUGACCCCGUAACUUCGGGAGAAGGGGUGCCUCGGUAGGGUGAAUAGCCCGAGGGGGCCGCAGUGAAAAGGCCCAAGCGACUGUUUAGCAAAAACACAGGUCUGUGCGAAGCCGCAAGGCGAAGUAUACGGGCUGACGCCUGCCCGGUGCUGGAAGGUUAAGGGGAGUGGUUAGGAGCAAUCCGAAGCUAUGAACCGAAGCCCCAGUAAACGGCGGCCGUAACUAUAACGGUCCUAAGGUAGCGAAAUUCCUUGUCAGGUAAAUUCUGACCCGCACGAAUGGCGUAACGACUUGGGCGCUGUCUCAACGAGAGAUCCGGUGAAAUUUUAAUACCUGUGAAGAUGCAGGUUACCCGCGACAAGACGGAAAGACCCCAUGGAGCUUUACUGCAGCUUGAUAUUGAAUUUGGGUACGAUCUGUACAGGAUAGGUGGGAGCCGUAGAGGCAGGAGCGCAAGCUUCUGCGGAGGCGCCGUUGGGAUACCACCCUGAUCGUAUCUAGGUUCUAACCUAGUACCCUAAGCGGGUACGGGGACCGUGUCAGGCGGGCAGUUUGACUGGGGCGGUCGCCUCCUAAAGAGUAACGGAGGCGUUCAAAGGUUCCCUCAGAAUGGUUGGAAAUCAUUCGAAGAGUGCAAAGGCAUAAGGGAGCUUGACUGCGAGACCUACAAGUCGAGCAGGGACGAAAGUCGGACUUAGUGAUCCGGUGGUACCGCAUGGAAGGGCCAUCGCUCAACGGAUAAAAGCUACCCUGGGGAUAACAGGCUUAUCUCCCCCAAGAGUCCACAUCGACGGGGAGGUUUGGCACCUCGAUGUCGGCUCAUCGCAUCCUGGGGCUGAAGUAGGUCCCAAGGGUUGGGCUGUUCGCCCAUUAAAGCGGUACGCGAGCUGGGUUCAGAACGUCGUGAGACAGUUCGGUCCCUAUCUGUCGUGGGCGCAGGAAAUUUGAGAGGAGCUGUCCUUAGUACGAGAGGACCGGGAUGGACGUACCGCUGGUGCACCAGUUGUUUCGCCAGAAGCAUGGCUGGGUAGCUACGUACGGACGGGAUAAGCGCUGAAAGCAUCUAAGCGUGAAGCCCCCCUCAAGAUGAGAUUUCCC
rnacentral:rRNA from 1 species